ACACGCAUGACACACUGCAUAUCAAUAAGCGGAGGAAAAGAAACUAACAAGGAUUCCCCUAGUAACGGCGAGUGAAGCGGGAAGAGCUCAAAUUUGAAAUCUUAAAGGGUUUCCCUUUACGAAUUGUAGUUUAAAGAAGUGUUUUCUGUUGGAGUUUCGGUAAAAGUUCUUUGGAAUAGGACAUCAUAGAGGGUGAGAAUCCCGUAUUUGACCAUUAUUUUCAGCUGUGUGAUACACUUUCAAAGAGUCGGAUUGUUUGGGAAUGCAGUCCAAAAUGGGUGGUAAAUUUCAUCUAAAGCUAAAUAUUGGCGAGAGACCGAUAGCGAACAAGUACCGUGAGGGAAAGAUGAAAAGAACUUUGAAAAGAGAGUUAAACAGUACGUGAAAUUGUCAAAAGGGAAGCGUUUGACACCAGUGUUGUUUAGUUGAAAAUCAAUUCAAUAAUUUUUGAUUUUAGAGUAGUAUUGACUUCAUCAGCUUGCUGCUUUCUUUUCGGAAAUUAUUGAAUGCACUUUUCAGUUAACAAGUCAACAUCAAUUUCUUUUGUUGUAAAAGGGCAAGAGGAAGGUGGCUUACGCUUCGGCGUAAGUGUUUAUAGCCUUUUAUCUCUGCAGUCGGGGAGAUUGAGGUCUGCAGCGUAGAUCCUUCGGGGCUAGAUACAUUUAUGCUAAGUUAUAGCUUUUCAUAGACAACUUGUUGACUAUGUUUAGUCAUGUAGCUUACUCGUAAGUGCUAUUUUACCUACGCUUAGGAUGUUGAGCGCAUGUCUCUCUCU
rnacentral:rRNA from 1 species